GUUGUCCAGCUAUGCAACCCAAGAGGGGGGGGGUGAAUUAGGUUUUUNNNNNNNNNNNNNNNNNNNNGUCGAGUGCUUGUAUGAAUAUCUUCAUCCGAGCUUUCCAAUAGGUGUAAUUAGACCCAUUGAAAAGUGGAGGUCGGUUUGUAGAUUGCACCUCGGCUAGAGAAGUACCGACAUGGGUUGCCAUAGAUCUUUGGCUCUUUGAUUGUUAGAUCAAAGAAGGGCUAUAGCACCGGGCUCUGAUACCACUUGUUGCCCAGCUAUGCAACCCAAGAGGGGGGGUGAAUUAGGUUUUUAAAAAAUUUAAGCUUAACUAAUUACUUAUGAAAAGUAUUUGUUAAAAGCUUGAUGAAUGAGAAGAAAGACUUUAAUUCAAGAUUAAUUACCUAAAGCAAGAAUGCAAGGAUAUAAUAAAGAAAUAAAGAGAAACAAUAAAGCACACCACAAACACAAGGAUUUAUAGUGGUUCAGUGCCAACCUUGCACCUACAUCCACUCCCCAAGCUCCUACUUGGGAAUUCCAAUCCACUAUACUUGUAUUCAACCUGAAUACAAACAUCGAAAACUCUGACACUAGCUAUCCCAAGCUAGUCCACUUGUAUUUCGGGUACAAGCCAACCCAAAACACUCCGAUUUCAGGUUCGGAUCAACCUUCCCUUGUUUUGGAAACCCUCCAAAAAAUAAGAACAAUUACUCACAAAGAGUAAGACAGUUUAGAGCAUAAAUAAGUACAAGAAUAGCUCCUUAAAUGAGCGAAUAUAACAAUAAAAAUACUUUACUCAAAUGAAGAAUCCCCUUUUGGAUUUUCUCAAGGUGGAUGAACGCUUGAGGAGGAGAAGGUGAACUUUG
rnacentral:lncRNA from 1 species